GUCUACGGCCAUACCACCCUGAACAUGCCGUAUAUCAUCUGAUCUUGGAAGCUAAGCCGGGUCGGGCCUGGUUAGUACUUGGAUGGGAGGAAAGGAACUCUCUUCC
rnacentral:rRNA from 1 species